rnacentral:rRNA from 1 species
UACGUAGGGGGCAAGCGUUGCCCGGAAUCAUUGGGCGUAAAGCGCGUGUAGGCGGCUAGAUAAGUCUGCUCUGAAAGCCCGGGGCUCAACCCCGGGAGGCGGGUGGAUACUGUCUAGCUCGAGUCCGGAAGAGGAGUGUGGAAUUCCUGGUGUAGCGGUGAAAUGCGCAGAUAUCAGGAGGAACACCAAUGGCGAAGGCAGCACUCUGGGACGUGACUGACGCUGAGACGCGAAAGCGUGGGGAGCAAACAGG